GGCCUUGUGGCCCAAUGGAUAAGGCGCCUGACCUCGGAUCAGGAGAUUCCAGGUUCGAGUGCUGGCAGGGUCG